GCUGGGCACAGUGGCACAUGCCUGUAGUCCCAGUAACUCAGGAGGCUGAGGCAGGAAUAUCGAAAAUUUGAGGCCAGUCUCAACAAUUUAGUGAGGUCCUAAGCAAUUUAGAGAGACCCUGUCUCAA
rnacentral:sRNA from 1 species